UGGGGAAUAUUGCGCAAUGGGCGAAAGCCUGACGCGGCGACGCCGCGUGAGGGACGAAGGCCUUCGGGUUGUAAACCUCUUUCAGCAGGGACGAAGCGAGAGUGACGGUACCUGCAGACGAAGCCCCGGCCAACUACGUGCCAGCAGCCGCGGUAAUACGUAGGGUGCAAGCGUUGUCCGGAAUUAUUGGGCGUAAAGAGCUCGUAGGCGGUUUGUCGCGUCGGCUGUGAAAACCUGGGGCUCAACCCCGGGCCUGCAGCCGAUACGGGCAAACUAGAAUUCGGUAGGGGAGACUGGAAUUCCUGGUGUAGCGGUGAAAUGCGCAGAUAUCAGGAGGAACACCGGUGGCGAAGGCGGGUCUCUGGGCCGAUAUUGACGCUGAGGAGCGAAAGCGUGGGGAGCGAAC
rnacentral:rRNA from 1 species